GAUUAACGCUGGCGGCGUGCAUGAAACAUGCAAGUCGAGCGCGAUGCGAGCUUGCUCGCAUCUAGCGGCGCACGGGUGAGUAACACGUGAGCAACCUACCUCGGAGCCCGGGAUAGCCUGAGAAAUCAGGAUUAAUACCGGAUGAUGUCGCCGUGGGGCAUCCCAUGGCGAAGAAAGGCUUCGGCCACUCCAAGACGGCUCGCGGCCUANAGCUUGUUGGUGGGGUAAUGGGCCUACCAAGGCGAAGAUGGGUAGCUGGUCUGAGAGGACGAUCAGCCACACUGGGACUGAGACACGGCCCAGACUCCUAC
rnacentral:rRNA from 1 species